ACGAACGCUGGCGGCGUGCCUAAUCCAUGCCAGUAGAACGCUGAAGAGAGGAGCUUGCUCUUCUUGGAUGAGUUGCGAACGGGUGAGUAACGCGUAGGUAACCUGCCUUGUAGCGGGGGAUAACUAUUGGAAACGAUAGCUAAUACCGCAUAACAAUGGAUGACACAUGUCAUUUAUUUGAAAGGGGCAAUUGCUCCACUACAAGAUGGACCUGCGUUGUAUUAGCUAGUAGGUGAGGUAAUGGCUCACCUAGGCGACGAUACAUAGCCGACCUGAGAGGGUGAUCGGCCACACUGGGACUGAGACACGGCCCAGACUCCUACGGGAGGCAGCAGUAGGGAAUCUUCGGCAAUGGGGGCAACCCUGACCGAGCAACGCCGCGUGAGUGAAGAAGGUUUUCGGAUCGUAAAGCUCUGUUGUAAGUCAAGAACGGGUGUGAGAGUGGAAAGUUCACACUGUGACGGUAGCUUACCAGAAAGGGACGGCUAACUACGUG
rnacentral:rRNA from 1 species